CACACACACACACACACACACCCAGGGGGUUCACCUGUGAUGGGGGCUUCCACCUCCAGCAUGCAUUUCUCCUGGCGGAGAAUCCCUGCUCCCUCGUUUAAGAUCCGGAGAGCCGUCUCCUCCUCCACACGCCCCUCCUUCACCAGAUGAGCCUUCAGCACCUCCACGCUGGGCCUCCCAUCCACGUACAGGUCUUUGACCGUCAGGCGUGUACCAGGAGGAUAUGGCACCGCUAAGAACACGAGGAGACACACGGACGACGACAGCGUGUUGAGACGGGUCCUGAAGACUAACAACAGUUUGGCAGCUCACACCGGCCCCCGGAGGAAAUACCAAGCAGCUUAAUUCCAGGAACACACCUUUAUUCACACAGAGAUGUGAAGGAGGAGGCCGAGCUGCAGCCUAACUGUUCACUCUUUCACUUAGAAACUUGAGUUCUGACAUAUCAAAGAGGCAGGAGCAGCUGAAACCGAUUCACUUCACUCAGUUGCAGAUAAAUGCUGUUAAUUCUGUGGGAUGGACAAAUAAACAGGAACUAGUUUUAUUGCAACACGUCGUCCAGCUGAGUGAUUGGACGACAUCAUCGUCACUAACCCUAGAAUUGUGUCACCAGCAUUGAAUGUCUGAAGGGAGGCAAACAAAAACCACUGUUGUAAAAAACGAGGCCUCGCAGAGCACCACAGGAAGUGGUAUUCAAAUAAUGGCUGACACAGAUGCAGCGUUCCUGACAGUGGCUGAAGGGACGGAGAGUAACACACACGCUACAACAGCCCAACGACACAAACCUCCACCUGAUGAGUAAACAGUUAAACUGGUCCAAAGAUUAACUAAUGACCAUCGACUGCGAUAACAUUUAUAAUCUCAUUGUCCUCUUGUUGAAGUUUGUCCCUGGUGGCCACCUGGAGGAACACCGUCUCUGAUGACACAUUGUAAAAUUAAAAACGUAUGAAACAUUUACAAUAUCAAUAAAACGCUUGUGUGUCACGUGUUCACACUGUUCAGCAGUAAAUUAGUA